AAGUCGUAACAAGGUAUCCGUAGGUGAACCUGCGGAUGGAUCAUUACCAAAGAUUUUUCAAAGUCUUGUGAACUGUUUUGACUACACUGUUGGGGUGCUAUAUUUGGCCUUUCUCUGGAAGGCCAGGUUGACCACCUCGACGGUACACAUACACGUAUAUACACUCAACCUGACGUCUACGCUUUAGUAGUAAAUCAAACUAAAGACAACUUUUAGCAACGGAUCUCUUGGCUCUC
rnacentral:misc_RNA from 1 species